rnacentral:rRNA from 1 species
GGCUGUCGUCAGCUCGUGUCGUGAGAUGUUGGGUUAAGUCCCGCAACGAGCGCAACCCACGUCUUUAGUUGCCAGCAUUCAGUUGGGCACUCUAGAGAGACCGCCGGUGAUAAACCGGAGGAAGGUGUGGAUGACGUCAAGUCAUCAUGCCCCUUACAUCCUGGGCUACACACGUACUACAAUGCUACGGACAAAGGGCAGCAAACUCGCGAGAGCUAGCAAAUCCCAUAAACCGUGGCUCAGUUCAGAUCGUAGGCUGCAACUCGCCUACGUGAAGGAGGAAUCGCUAGUAAUCGCAGGUCAGCAUACUGCGGUGAAUACGUUCCCGGGCCUUGUACACACCGCCCGUCACACCAUGGAAGUUGGCCAUGCCCGAAGUCGUUACUCCAACCCGCAAGGGAGGAGGACGCCGAAGGUGGGGCUGAUGACUGGGGUGAAGUCGUAACAAGGUAGCCGUACCGGAAGGUGCGGCUGGAUCACCUCCUAAC